UUUGAUCCUGGCUCAGAUUGAACGCUGGCGGCAGGCCUAACACAUGCAAGUCGAGCGGUAACAGGAUGUGCUUGCACAUCGCUGACGAGUGGCGGACGGGUGAGUAAUGCUUGGGAACUUGCCUUUGCGAGGGGGAUAACAGUUGGAAACGACUGCUAAUACCGCAUAAUGUCUUCGGACCAAACGGGGCUUAGGCUCCGGCGCAAAGAGAGGCCCAAGUGAGAUUAGCUAGUUGGUAAGGUAACGGCUUACCAAGGCGACGAUCUCUAGCUGUUCUGAGAGGAAGAUCAGCCACACUGGGACUGAGACACGGCCCAGACUCCUACGGGAGGCAGCAGUGGGGAAUAUUGCACAAUGGGGGAAACCCUGAUGCAGCCAUGCCGCGUGUGUGAAGAAGGCCUUCGGGUUGUAAAGCACUUUCAGUUGUGAGGAAAAGUUAGUAGUUAAUACC
rnacentral:rRNA from 1 species